ACAACGUUCGGACUGUUGCGUCGCUCUACCGAGCAAUAUCACCCGCUCGGUGGAAGAUCUUCCCUUUGUCGU
rnacentral:pre_miRNA from 1 species